UAGGUGAUAAUAUGAUGCCUCAGAGAGUGUUCCCUAUAUAGGUGAUAAUAUGAUGCCUCCCUCUGAGAGUGUUCCCUAUAUAGGUGAUAAUAUGAUGCCUCCCUCUGAGAGUGUUCCCUAUAUAGGUGAUAAUAUGAUGCCUCCCUCUGAGAGUGUUCCCUAUAUAGGUGAUAAUAUGAUGCCUCCCUCUGAGAGUGUUCCCUAUAUAGGUGAUAAUAUGAUGCCUCCCUCUGAGAGUGUUCCCUAUAUAGGUGAUAAUAUGAUGCCUCCCUCAGAGAGUGUUCCCUAUAUAGGUGAUAAUAUGAUGCCUCCCUCAGAGAGUGUUCCCUAUAUAGGUGAUAAUAUGAUGCCUCAGAGAGUGUUCCCUAUAUAGGUGAUAAUAUGAUGCCUCCCUCUGAGAGUGUUCCCUAUAUAGGUGAUAAUAUGAUGCCUCCCUCUGAGAGUGUUCCCUAUAUAGGUGAUAAUAUGAUGCCUCCCUCUGAGAGUGUUCCCUAUAUAGGUGAUAAUAUGAUGCCUCCCUCUGAGAGUGUUCCCUAUAUAGGUGAUAAUAUGAUGCCUCCCUCUGAGAGUGUUCCCUAUAUAGGUGAUAAUAUGAUGCCUCCCUCAGAGAGUGUUCCCUAUAUAGGUGAUAAUAUGAUGCCUCCCUCAGAGAGUGUUCCCUAUAUAGGUGAUAAUAUGAUGCCUCAGAG